AGAAUAUUCUUUGGAUAGCUAAUCUACCACUCCCUGUACCAGGGCAACCCAGUACUAGGAAAACAUCUUGUAAACAGGUUGACUUAUCCUUCAUCCAUCUUUCUUAUCUCCUCCAAAUGGCAUGAUUGUUUUAUUUGCUUAUUGAAAGGUGACCACGGGGCCAACACAAAAUUAUUCUGAAUUUAGUCUUAAAACUUGUUUAUAAUGUUUAAUCUUAUGAUCAAUAAAACUCUUAAUUACUAAUCAAUACAUAGUAAGCAGUGAACAAUUUAACAAUUCUCCUGCCUUUUUUAACCUGUGAAAAUCUUGUUAUAGUUAUGUGCAACUUGCACCUGUCAAUGAACCAUUCAAUAAAUGUAUUGCCUACUAAUCUAGUUUUUAUUUCUAAGGUCACUGUUACCAGCUGUGUCCAAUCAGCAAAAGAUGAACUUACCAAUAAGGCAGAGAUGAAACAUUUUAAAAGAGGAAGUAUUAUCACUACCUUGAAACUCAAAGAGGAAGACCCAGGACCAUUCCCCAAGUUUGCUGGAGAGCUAUUUGAUAAUGUGUGCUGCAAUAAAUUCUGGAAAUAUACAAUCAAUGGACCUGGUGUGGAUGAGGAUCCAAUUGGUUUGUUUUCUAUAGAAGAUAACCAUACUGGGAAAAUCUAUGUUCACUAUCCAAUUGAUCGGGAGAAAACACCAUUUUUUUUGGUACCUAUAAAUUUUACCUCUCAAAUCUUCUUUCCAUAUCCCCUUCCUCAAAAUUAUUGGGAAUAGUAUUGUGAGACAAUAAAGAAGAAAAAGUUCAUUCCAUCAAAAAUUUAGAGCUGAGAUUGAGUAGUCAAUCAAUAAAUACUUAUUAAUCCCCUACUAGCUUUCUGCCAUUGAUCUAAUAAAUGGUGGGGAAGGGGGAGUCAAAAGACAGUCCUUGCCUUCAAGAAACUUAUAACUAAUGAGGAAACAAUUUACAAACAAAUUUGUAUCAACAAGCUAUAUAGAGGAUAAAUAAUAAAUAAAUAAAGAAGAGAAGACAUUAGAAUUGAGGGAUUGUUGAUCUGAAAAAGAUGGUAUUGCUGGGUCAAAGGAUAUGUAUGCUUUUAUAGCCCUUUGGGCAUGGAUUUAAAUUUGUCUUCAGAAUGGUUGUCAUCGAACAACUUCCCCAACAUUUCAUUAGUGUUUCAGUUUUCCAGCAUUCUCUCCAACUUCUCUCAUUUUACUUUUCUAUCAUAGCCAGUCUUCUAGGUAUGGGGUGGUACCUUAGAAUUGUUUUAAUUUGCAUUUUUUCAAAAGUGAUUAAAAGCAAUUUUCACCUAACUCUUGAUAACUUUAAUUGCCUUGAAAACUGCCUGUUCAUAUCUUUUGAGCAUUUAUCAAUGCAGGAAUGACUUGCAUUCUUAUACGUUUGACUCAUUUCUUUAUGUAUUUGAGAAAUGGGAACUUAUAAACUUGUAAUUUUUUUUCAGUGUUAUGAUUACUCUGUAUCACCCUUCAUUCUAUUAUAGAGCCUUUUUAUCUUCUCUCUCCUUUCAUCCUGUCCAUCCUCAAAAGUGUUUUGUUUCUGAUCAUCACUUCUCCAAAUUUGCCCUCUUUUCUUAGCCUACCCUUCUCUUCUAUCAUUCCCUUCCUACUUCACUCUACUACAAGAGAGAUUUCUAUACCCAGUUGACUGAUUAUUUUCUUACUUCUUUGAGGCAAUUCUUAUGAGAGUAAGGUUCAAGCAUUCUCUUCCCACCUUCUCCAUUUCCCUCUCUAUUGUAAAAAGCUUAUUCAUUCCUCUUUUAUGUGAGAAAUUUUAACCUGGUCUACCUCUCCUUUCCCCCUUUUCCAAAUACAUUCUUCUUUCUCACCCCUCACUUUAUUUUAUUUUUUUAAACCCUUACCUUCCCUCUUGGAGUCAAUACUGUCUAUUGGCUCCAAGGCAGAAGAGUGGUAAGGGCUAGGCAAUGGGGAUCAAGUGACUUGCCCAGGGUCAAAAAGCUAUGAAGUGGCUGAGGCCAGAUUUGAACCUAGGACCUCCUGUCUCUAGGCCUGGUCUCAAUCCACUGAGCUACCCAGCUGUCUUUAUUUUUUAAGUGAAAAUGGGAAAAAGAAAACAAGAAAUUAAAAAGCAACUAGAAAAACAGAUAUAAGAAGGGAAGGAAGAAAGAUAUGUCUUAAUAACAGAAUUAACAUACUGGAAAAAGAAACAAGCAAAAAAAAACAAAUGAAAAGUGUGACUUGAAAAGGAGAAUUGAACAAAUGGAGAAAGAAAAUCAAAAGAUCAUAGAAGACAACUAGUCUUCAAAAAUUAUAAUUGGGGAAUUAGAAGCUAAUUACUUCACAAGAUAUCAAGACAAUAAAACAAAAUCAAAAGAAAAGAAAAAUGGAAGAAAAUAUGAAAUAUCUCAUAAACAAUAAAAACUGACCUGGAAAAUAGAUCUAGGAGAGACCAUUUAAGAAUUAUUGGACUACCUGAAUGUUAUGAUAAAAAAAAACCCUAAACAUCUUAUUACAAGAAGCUAUCCAAGAAAACUGCCCUGAUGUUCUUGAACAAGAGGGUAAAAUAGAAACUGAAAGAAUCCACAGAUCACUUCCUGAAAUAAAUCCCCAAAUGAUAAUUCCUAGAAAUGUUAUAGCCAAGUUCAAAAACUCCCAGGAAAAGAAGAAAAUACUGCAAGCAGGCAGGGAAAAAAACAAUUCACAUAUCAUGGAGCCCCAGUCAAGAUUACCCAAGAUCUGGUAGCUUUCACAUUGAAGGACUGGAAGGCUUGAAAUAUGGUAUUUUGGAAUGCAAGGGAACUGGGGAUAUAACCAAGAAUCACAAAGCCAUCAAAACUGACUAUAUUCUUUCCAGGGAAAGCAUGUUCAUUUAAUGAAA